rnacentral:misc_RNA from 1 species
CGACAGUUACGUAUGUAUUGUCACAAGGCAGCCACAGGUGUAUGGCACUAGCAACUCUGAGAAUUUCUCAAAAUGAAACAUUAUUAUUGAGAAACUGCUUAACAUGCCUGAUACGCCAAAGUUUUAAACCCUUGGAUACAAGGUAUGGAACAAGUACAUACAAACACUCUGACAUAUACACACGAACAGUAAUCUACUCCGCAGUCACAUCUGUAGGGCGAAAGGAGGGUACAAAAGCCUCGACCCUCUUCCUGAUCUCAUCUGGAUUAGCUCCGACCACCCUAUCUAUCACUUCAUUACCUCUCAUCAACACGAACGUCGGCAUCGCCUUCACCUCGUACUUCGCAGCAAUUUCCUUCACCUCAUCCACAUCUACCACAAGACACUGAAUAUCCUGAUAAUUCAUAGCAAGUUCUUCAAAGUAUGAGUUCAUGGCCAGAGAUGGAACACACCAUGAAGCAGUAAAGUGAACCAGAACUGGCGAUCCUUGGUUGUUGGCUUGGGCUGUGAGGAGCUCCCAUGAGUCCUCAGAUUCCACCUUCACAACCCUGGACUUGCUUG